ACAUACAGAUUUAUUUAUACAGAUUGAAGGAGAUUGUGACAAGUGGCAUGAUAGAAAACAGGCUUUGCAGAGCUCUGUGACUUUGUCUGGGCUUGCUAGUUGAACGGAGCCGGCUAAUGAAAUAAAGAACCAAGGGUUUUAUGGAACAAAGCACUGCUGUAAUCCCUCUUCUCUGGUCGCCGUCGUCGUGUUCCGUGCUGCUGGAGUUCGGGCCUUGUUCUUUCUGCUCUGCUCUGCUCUGCUCCGUCGUGUUCAUCUUCUCGGGCCAUUUUGAAACCUCUACUCUGGUAGGCAUUCAGAAACCUUUGCUCUGCUCCGCCGUGGUGCCUUGCUCUGUCCUCUCAGGCAAAUUGACAACUAUUCGCCGUUCACAUCUUUCUCUCAAGCCUCUCGCAUCACACUCGAUCCUUAGAGGUACACAAAAAGCAGAACAAUGAUGUUGCUCUCUGUGCACCCGGGACGGUGGUGACCACACAGUAAAGAUGGUUGAUUCUGAAACUUGAAGUUGCGUAAAGGUGCUAGUUGGCCAUAGAAUGACGCCUUGGGUGAAUCUUUGCUGAAUUCCUGGAAGCUGAUUCUUUACAACAGGUAUCACUUCUUCUCCCUCAAUAAUUGUCGAAUUUGAUAUGUUAAUCCACUAAAGUGAAUUAUGAAUAUUCCUAUUUGGUUUCUAGUUACAGUUGUUACUAUCUAGUGUUUGUCACUAAUAUUUGUUUGUUAGGAGAUAGACUAACUGGAGAUAUAGAGCCUGUGUUUAUGUCUUAACUUCUAAAGCAUUGUGAAUAUCAAUGCAACUUCAGUUGUAUGCUUGGAUAAGUUUCCUUUUUUUAUUCCCAUACCAUUUAAGGUGUCUCAAUUAUUUUACUUCUGGAAAGAAUUAAAUUCUAUAGGUAGUACCCGAUUUCAUUAUUUUCUUGCAAAAAUUCAUCAGUGUUGCUCGACUUCCAUGGAUACUUAUCCCUCUUGUUUCCCCUUAUAUGAGUCUGCAUUUUCUGGGUAGAUCGAUUGGAAAAUGUCGUGGAUUCUUGGACUUCAUUAUACCUCGUGGUAGCAGAAGUCUGACCUGGAAGAUGAUGUGAGUGCUUCUGUAUGCUUCUUUCUCCUUGCCUUUUUGUAACUUCAGUGAGAACUUGUUAUUUGACUUUGAGUUAUUAAUGUAUCAGCAUGGGACAUCAAACUUUCAAUUAUUUAACAGUACUCUUAUAAUUGUGUGUGCAUAUGACAAUAAUACAAGACGGUGGAUAUUGGGUCA